UUAAAAUAAAAUUGAAGAUAUUCUUUAGAACUUAUACUUGAAGAUAGGGACUAUUUUAACAAUGAAAUUGAAACAUUUUGUUGAUGAUAUUAGAACUUUUUCAUCGACAAGCUAGGCACAUGUAAUGCAUGCCGAACAAAAGUCUCUAGUGUAUGGCUUGAAGAUCACCCCAUGAAUCGAUGUUGUUGCGAUUGGCAUCUAGUGAUUUGAUACCUUUAUAAAUAAUUUUGUUCUUCUCUAUCAAAAUAAUUACUAAAAAAAAAUAUAGUAUAUAUAAUAUUAUCUUCUAGAAAAAUAAUU
rnacentral:lncRNA from 1 species